rnacentral:rRNA from 1 species
UACAGAGGGUGCAAGCGUUGUUCGGAAUUAUUGGGCGUAAAGCGCGUGUAGGCGGCUUUGCAAGUCGGGUGUGAAAGCCCUCAGCUCAACUGAGGAAGUGCGCCCGAAACUGCAGAGCUUGAGUGCCGGAGAGGGUGGCGGAAUUCCCCAAGUAGAGGUGAAAUUCGUAGAUAUGGGGAGGAACACCGGUGGCGAAGGCGGCCCGACC